CAUGCCUCAGUACCGGCGAGUGAGCGGCAAAAGCUCAAAUUUGAAAUCUAGUACCUUCGGUGCUCGAGUUGUAAUUUGAAGGUAGUUUUCUGGUGCUGGCCCUUGUCUAUGUUCCUUGGAACAGGACGUCAUAGAGGGUGAGAAUCCCGUCUGAUGGGGUGUCCAGUGCUUUGUAGAUUUCUACCGAAGAGUCGAGUUGUUUGGGAAUGCAGCUCUAAGUGGGUGGUAAAUUCCAUCUAAAGCUAAAUACUGGCGAGAGGACCGAUAGCGAA
rnacentral:rRNA from 1 species